ACUCUCUCCUCUCCCUCAAAAACUUUCGGCCAAACACCCCUUGAUCAUCCAUCAUAUUUUUCGAUUUUGUUCUUCACAUUCCAACAUCAUACAAGUGUCAAGUGUCACGCAUAAGAAGGCUUGGUACACUCGGAGAUCGAAGGACCUCAUCCUCUAGCUUUUAUCCACUUCAUUUGCGCUUAGAUUCCUCCCUAGCCUCGAGCUAGUGGUUACGACGUUAAUUAAGCAAAUCCGGUGAAGUUUACGACGCAAGGAACGCAAAGUUGUAACUAAAGGUGGAUGUGCGCGUGGUCCUACGCAUGCUCGUGGAUCUCGCUUUGUUUAUCGUUAAAUAAAGUUGUAACUUUUAAGACAAUAUGCUAUCAUGUGUUGUAAACACUUGACUUAUGUUUUCGGUAAUGUAAUGUUUAAAGUUAUUUUC